rnacentral:tRNA from 1 species
GCCUGGUUAGCUUAGUUGGUAGUGCGUCUGCCUUGUAAGCGCUAGGCCGCGGGUUCGAUUCCCGCCUGGGGCG